AACGAACGCUGGCGGCAUGCCUAACACAUGCAAGUCGAACGAGACCUUCGGGUCUAGUGGCGCACGGGUGCGUAACGCGUGGGAACCUGCCCUUAGGUUCGGAAUAACUCCCCGAAAGGGGUGCUAAUACCGGAUAAUGUCUUCGGACCAAAGAUUUAUCGCCUUUGGAUGGGCCCGCGUUGGAUUAGCUAGUUGGUAGGGUAAAAGCCUACCAAGGCGACGAUCCAUAGCUGGUCUGAGAGGAUGAUCAGCCACACUGGGACUGAGACACGGCCCAGACUCCUAAGGGAAGGAGCAAUGGGGAAUAUUGGACAAUGGGCGAAAGGCUGAACCAGCAAUGCCGCGUGAGUGAUGAAGGCCUUAGGGUUGUAAAGCGCUAUUACCCGGGAUGAUAAUGACAGAACCGGAAGAAUAAGCUCCGGCUAACUCCGUG
rnacentral:rRNA from 1 species